ACAUUAAAUUAUAAGGGCACUGAAGCUUUAAAAGGUAUAUUGGAGUUUCUGCAUUAUUUAUUAUUUGAGACUGCCUUUCCUCCAAAUAUUUGAUUUUUUUUCCAUUCAUUCAGAACUGAAAAGUCCUUCCCACACUUCUCAACUUCCUGAGGCUUCUGUGGAUGAGGAGCCAGCUCUAAAUUUUGAGAUAUGAUUUACUCUAAGCAGACAUUGAUUACCUGUAACGCUGCAGUGGGUUGGAGCUGCUUGUUUGAAAGGCUGGGGGUGAGAAGGAUUUGGCUGUCAUUCUUCCUGGGCUGGGAAAAAGUUGAGUAUUCAUUAUUAUUAUGUAGCUGUAUUGCCCCCAUACCUGCUACUGCAGGCACUAACAGGAUUUCACAGUGCUAGGCGCUGUCCUUUCUCUAGCACAAUUUAAGGCCUUGUGGACACUUUUUUCCACCCUAGUUAUUCAGGCAAGGCUGCUAUGACAGUGCAGUCACUCUGCAGAAGCUUACACAAGGAAAAAGCUUGCAAAAAAUAUAGCUUGUAUCACUUGCCUGAGCGAAAGAAGCUGUAUUGGCAAAAAUAAACUUCUUUUCCCCCCUUUUGCUCAUAUUACAGCUGUAUCUACAUUAGGGCUUUUGCUGGCAUAGCUGAAAAAAAAUCACACUCCUAGCUGACAGGAAUAUGCUGUCAAUUUUUUUAAAUAGAUGAGUCUGAAGUAUUUCCACAUGACGGAGCCGUGUGUAUUUGUUUGUGUGGAGACGGGGGAGGGGAGAAUCUGUUUUAAAAUAGAAGUUUCUAAAAUUGAUUUGCAGAGAUCCCCUUAAAAUGACAAGCAUUGCCCUGCCAGCAGCUUCCUGCCUCCCUGCUCUCCUCUUGUAGGCUCCCAGACCCCAGCUCUGUGUGCUCCUUGCUUCCCUCCCAUCUGCCCCACAUGCCAGCACGUCCUGCCCAGAAUUUUCACUUGCCUUCCCUUCUCCUGCCUCGGUUCUCCCCUGGCAGCAUCCCACCUCAUAUGUGCUUCUUUCCUUGUCCAGACACCUGCACUGCAGCUCCCAUCCGUUCCCUCUGCCACCAAGGGCCAAUGUUCUCCCUGAAGUGUGGGUUUCUUUCCUUCCCCUUCAACUGCUGCUUCCAUGGUCACUGCUGGGAGCAAGGGCUCGAGGUCUGCCUACAAACAGAAGUCCUCCAUAUGCUCUGUGCCAUUGCAAAAUACUUUAUUUCUGGCAGUGAAACUGCACAUCAAGUCAGAAAGCAGAGGCAUUUCCAUUUCAAAUGGGGAGGCAGAGCCUUUCCAGAGCAUCUGGAAAAUAUUUGGCAAAGGACACAGAGCUGUGAUAAAAUUACAGACAUGAAGGGUCGAUUCUGCUGCUACUUGUUUUCACCAGUCACUGAUGUUCACCUCCUUCCAUCAGCUCAGACCGGUUAUGGAGCCCAAGCACCAUAGGAAGAUAUCUCAUAUGUGCUGCUUCCCGCAGAAGGUGUUAAUCCUAGAGCUGCUGUGAGCUUUCUGAGUCACCUUUGGGUUAAGGCAGGGACUGCUUUUGUGCCUCAGAGUCUUUAUCUAUAAAAUGAAACUUCCCCGUCACGAGGCAUGAACUUCAAUUUGAUUGAACUGAAACAGGACUGAGGUCUUUGGGCGGUUCUAUUGAACGGCAAGGAGUGGGGACUUGGUGGUCCUGGGAUGGCUCACAGCCUUCCUUGAAAUUGAACGCUGAGCCACCUGCACACAGUGUGAGGCAGUGGAGUGUUGGGGCAGGCUCCUGAGCAGGCGAUAGAACACCUUCAGUCACUCACAUGUCUGUGUGCAGCCAGCACCCCAGGGUCCUUACUGGUGGUUGUCUGUAGCCCGCAGGUUUUACACCUGGUAAUGAAGCACCUAUAGGAAUUUUGGAAUAGCACUGUCAGAGGACUUGUUUUAUUUUCUCUGAAUAUGACAGGUUAAGCAUUUAAAUAGUAACCCUCCACACAUUGGUAUCAAUUAUUUGUUCAGAGUUUAAACUGACAUUUAGUAAGUAUGCUAAUUGAUACGGCACUAACUUACUAUAGGUAUCUUCCUAAGUGCCAAUUAUCUGCCUCAACAUUCCCCACAAUUGAAGUUUGUUAGUAAGAAGCUAAUUACUCUAGUUUAUUGCUGAUGGAAUUACAUGAAGAGUAGAAUUUGCUCUUACAUACUUAUUAGACCUCAAUAAGUGAUCCUUAGCAGUCUGUUGCUAUUCAAUUAACAAGUAAUAACUUCCUUAAUGAAUGUAAUUGAAAUGCUUAUUUCAGUUGGGCACCUAAUAUAAAAUGCUUCAGUCGGAGAGCUUUUCUGCAUGCCAGUCUUGUUUACCUAACAGGAACAAAAUGGGGCCACCAAGAAGCUCUGAGACGGUGAUGAGAACCCAAGUGCUGGUAAAUCCCUUACAUGACCAGAUGUCAUUUACCAGGUGAUUUCUGUUCUGCAGAAAUGUCAUGGGAAUCAGCUGAAACUCUUCUCUCUGAGGAUUUAAAUCCAUGGGGAGGAUUCUGUGAUGUGAAGCUCUUCUUGCACAUUAGCUGUGCCUUCUGCGAUGGCUGUACAGCUGCUUGCUGCUCCACUGGGAGCGGUGCAGCUCAGCUCUGGUGUGCUGCUGCAGGUGCUUUGUCAUUAAAAACUCACUCCUCUUUGCUAGGACUGUGCACGUUUGGCUUAAGAGAUUGGGGGAAAUGUGAUGGUGGCUCUGUGGAGAUGUUUCUGGUGAGAGUGGCCCAAGGCUGUGGGCUGCAUGUGCUGUAGCUGGUGGGCUGCUAGACUGGGGGUUUUACAGACUAGGGAACGAUAAUGUGCUUUGUCUGUUUAUGGGAUGGGAAGACCCAGCAGUGUUUGGUGUCUGAGGCUAUUUUUGGUUUUGUGAUUAAAACUAUGGCUUUUUCUGUAAUGAGAAUUUAACACACAGGACUUGUAUUUAGGGCCAAGUGCCAGGAAAUCUUCUCAAGCAACACUAAUUAUACCAUUUGGCAACAUUAGUGUAUGGGCAGUAACCUUUUCUCAGGAAUUUUUAGCAGAUAGAUUUAGUGUCAAAAAAACCCAUGUAAUAGCUUCUGCAGUCUAUCACGUUUGUUACCAACUUUUUAAUGUAUGCCUUCUACUCAUAGAAUUGAAAGACCUUAUUGAUCUCUUAGCAGCUGAGCUGAUUAUUGGGUUAAGAUAGAGACUUCCUGAAAGAGGCCAAGAGAAAUUAUUCAUUUAACAUGUUCUGAUUUUAGUAAACUUCCAUUUAAACUCUAAAGUUAAUUAAAUAUAUAUAUAUAUUGCCAAUUGGCUCACAUAAAUUUAUUAAAUUCGGCAGAAACAGAGUGCAGACUGGUGCAUUUCAUAUCAACUUUUGUAAUAUUCUUGGGGAAAAAAUCCACAUUGACUUAUUAAGUUCCAUACAAACACAGGUAAGAACUUUGCUGUGAGAGUGAGUGCAGCAGAAAUUGUAAGUUACAGCUUGAACCAGUGAUUGAGCACCUGGUGGGAAGGCAGGGCCAACUCAGGGGAGCUCAGGUGCAUGCAAUGCAAUGCAAUGCAAUGCAUCUGAGUGACUGGAAGGGAUGCAGAUCCACCCCCUCCCAGACCUCAUUUAAGGGUUGGCAGUGGAGGCAAGGGGUAUCUCAUGGAGGUCCCUGUGUACCUGAGGCCUUCUGAAGGAAAUGACUUCCUGCAGGUGUGCACCCAUCCUGCUGUGGCCUUGCUCACAUUUGCUUCCUGGGAACAUCUAAGUGAUUAAAGAUGGGACCAUUCAUACCAAUGGUCAGGACAGGCUAUCCAUGUGGUAGAUUUUCUUCUGCUUUCAUUCCCCUGCAGUAUUUCAGCAGCUGGAGCCUCACAGGAGCUAUCACUCUCUGGCUGAUGUCGAGGACAGAGGCACCAGUCUGGCAGAGAGGUCUCGCCAUCCCUGCUGGGGUCCAAGGAAUUUGCAGAUGUUACCUAAAUGUGGGCACCCCAUGGCAUCCCUGCUGUGGUCAGUGGCUUUCACUGCUUGGAUUUAGUUAUGGUUUUAAAAAGCAGAGCUUGGAAAAGUUGUUUGUGACUGUAGGAAAAAAAUCCCAAGAAAGCAGACCAUAAAUCAGGUCAUCGGAUGAAUUCAGAAUGCACUAAUAAAAUCAGAGCUUCCAAUAAAUUUCAUUUCGGGCAGAGCAGAAACAUUUUCUUGGUUGAGAGUUCAGGAUAGAUGAUAAUUUCAGAUGUGUGUCUGGCCAGUGCAGUAUGUCUACAAAGUGUUUGCAGGCAAACAGCAGCGGCUGGUAUGGAGUCAGGCCCUCACAGCAGCUGCAUUUUAGUAUGACUGAAUAAAAAUAUGAGUAUCUAUAGCUCUCUGAGCUGAACCUAAUUAAAUAUUUAAUGUUUUUUUCCUCCCAAAUCCUUUGGUUUCUUGCUCUUUCGUACUGCGCUGCGAUGACAUUUGAACAACAAAUGCAGCCUUGGUAGGUGGGUCUCCUGGUACUGCUUUUUAUAUGAGAAGCUUGCACUUCCCAGCUGAAGUCCAGCUGCUGCAUUUAUGACGGUAUUUUGUCCUGAUCAAUUUUUAAAAAACAUUUUCCUAUCUAUGAAAUUAAUGGGUGCCUGGAGAAAUAGCAGCUCCUCCCCAUUCCUGCCAAUACUAACCUUCCCCAGACAGGAAGAGACUUCUCUUUCCCUUUAUUUACCUGCAAGAUAUCCUCACUAGUGCUCAGAAUCACAAAAGGAGAGGAAAAAUAAUAAAACCUCAGUACGUGGAAAGUGUUACCAACAGAACAACUGUGCCUACUGCAGCUAGGCUCUGCCUUUCCAGGCUCCAUUACACUGACUAAGCCCUGCAUAAUCUUCCAGGGGUCGCAGAGUGAGCCAUUAGCAAGACAGCACUAAGACAGAGGCAUCCUGAAUUUUGUAACUGCACUGAUUACUUUAAGACCCCAAUUUGAAGGGCCAUAGGUCUGAGCUGGCAGCACAGUCAUACAGAUAGCUACUUACAGCCUUACAAAUUGGUUUUCCUGCAAUCAUCAUCUUGCUACUGUGUGCUGGCAGUGUGUUUUUGUUAUGUUUUGUCUUUUUCACUGCUGCUGACAAUUAUGUUGUGAUUGGCUGCAAAACGAUGAAGGAAGUCUGAGAGGAGAGGGGCCUCACCCUGUCCUGGUGCUCCUGCAUCAGACUGUGCUGCUGCACCGUCAGCCUUCUCGUAUGUUUCCUCCCUCUCUCAGCAAUGCUUUUCCAUAUGUGUGAAUGCACCCAGGAGGGUGUACUGGGUUGCUGGGUGCCUGGCACCGUGUCAUGUGGGUUAUGAAGGCUGCUUCAGUGGGCAUCAAAAUGAAUGGUUGUAUUUCAUUCUCUCUGUGCUAGAUGGACUCUUCAUGUGCACUAUCUGUAAUGUCUCAUACCCCAACUCUCAAAGGCUGAUAAUCACUCAGGUGGAUGGACUUCAAAAGGCAGUGCCCCUCCAUAGAGAACACCUCUGGCUGUUCUGGCUGACACCUUCUUACCACAGCUGUAGUAGAAAAGCUGCACAGGGCACAAGUUAAUAAAAAGAAAUAUUUGUUCCUGUACUGGAAAAAUACACAUUAUGCUUCAUAUUUUGGGAUUUUUAUUUUUAUUUUAGCACUGUUUCCUUUCCCUUUAAUUUUUUCUUCCCAGUAAGAUGGAACCAGGUGUCAUUGUAUUGUUCUAACAUGCACAGUAACUUCGGAUGAUUAAUACUGUGACACCAUAAUCUCAUAAGAAAUAAUUUUUAUCCAUUAUCUAAAAUCAGCUUUUAAUUAAAAGAAUAUUUCAUAUUUAUACUGUGAUACUAAAUGACCCUGAUUAUUUUAAAAUUAUCUGUGCUGUUGGCACAUCCUAAGUGUAGAGCAUGCAUCUUUCUGUUGGGCUUUAUUGUCUGCCUGAAAGGUGAAUUUCAAGUACCAAGCAUUACUAAGUAAGUAGGAAUGUCCUUCUAUGUGUAGGUUUGUAAUUAAUUUGCCAAGAAUGAUCUCUAUCUUCUUGUAGCCUAUAUUUCAGGAGGAAAAAAACAUCCUGUUUCAAAACUUUUCCAUAAUUGAAUCAUAGAAUGGCCUGGGUUGAAAAGGACCUCAGAGCUCAUCCAGUUCCAACCCCCUGCUGUGGCAGGGUUGCCAACCAGCAGCCCAGGCUGCCCAGAGCCACAUCCAGCCUGGCUUGAAUGCCUCCAGGGAUGGGGCAUCCACAGCCUCCUUGGGCAACCUGUUCCAGUGCAUCACCACCCUCUGUGUGAAAAAAUUCCUCCUAAUAUUUAAUCUAAACCUCCCCUGUCUCAAUUUAAAACCAUUCCCCCUUUCCUAUCACUGUCCACCCUUGUA